rnacentral:rRNA from 1 species
AGCUACAUAUUAAAGAGAUUUAUUUAUAUAAAUAGGCUUGCUAGCUGAUUGUAUAUAUAUGCUGGCCGUAUUUCAUAGCAAGCUCGCUUUUAAUAGGCAACCAGUAAUAUGAGCAAUUAUUUACCUACAAGCCUAUAAUUAUAUUAACUCUAAGAGAAAUCUAAUAAUAAACGGAGUGAAUUGAAAUAUCUUAUUAACUUCAGGAAAAGAAAUCAAAAGAGAUUCUAUGAUUAGCGUGAGCUAAAAUAGAGUAGCCUAGAAAGUCAAAUGGUGGAUAAACUGUUUAAAUUUAAUGGGGAACCUUCCUCAAAGGCUAAAUAUAAUAUGUAAGCGAUAGUGGAAAGUACCGUGAGGGAACCAAAACAAAAACAGUGAUUUUAUAAGCAGUUCGGAAAAAUAAAAAAGUUAGAACGUACCUUUUGCAUAAUGGGUCACCAAGUUAACAUUAGAUGCGAGAUUCUACGUAGUUAAACCGAGCGUUAAAAUAACGGUAAGUGUCUAAAGUUAGACCCGAAGCCUGGUGAUUUUACCAUAAUCAGGAUUAUAAAAGUCCGAACGGAAUAUUGUAGCAUAAAUAUCCGAAGAAUUAUGGUAGGUGUAGUGAAAGACAAUACUGACCAGGAUAGCUGGUUUUCUGCGAAACCUAUAACAGUAGGCAAUUUAAGUAUAAUAUCUUAGCAGGUACAGAAUUUAAUCUCAGACAAGACAUAAGGCUUAACUUGUUAACAAGUUAAGCCCAUGUUUUAUUUUGUACAAAUUGGGGGAUCAUGAAGAUUUUAUCAGUGAGUAUGUAGACUCGGAAUGGCAAAGAUAUAUCUUAAAUCAUCAGACAUAGAAUGAUAAGGUUGUAUGUCAAAAGGGAAACAGCCCAGAACAAGAGUUAAGGUUCCUAAAUUAUUAGUUGAGUGAAAUUAAGAAGGUUUUUAUUAAAGUCGACAAGGAGAUAGGCUUAGAAGCAGCCAUAAUUUUAUGACCUCGUAACAGAGCGCUUGUUAAGUUUUAAAAGCAUCGAAAAUUUAUCGGAUCUAAACAAUAUACCGAAACCUUGUCCAUAUUAUUUUAUAAUUAAUAGUCUCAGCAAGCUCGGACUAUACAAUUAUAAUUAAAUGGGGUAGCAGAACGUUGAGCUAAAUUAAGAUUUUUAUUUUUUAAAUGAAAUUAUAAUAAUUUAACUCAAGUGAUAAUGGUGACAUGAGUAACUAAAAGAAAAUUUUCCGCCUAAAGCUUAUGGAUGUAAUUAAGUAACGGCCUCUAAGUUUAUGGAAUCAAAAGAUUAAAACGAUGAGACAAUCUUUCAUACUAAGGACGACAUUUUAAGUGCAAAAUGUACUGGAAAAAUAGUAAUAAGUUUAAGCUAUGGCUAGAACUAGCUAUAGCUGUAAAUGGAAAGUAACCGUACCUAGAAUCUGAAACAAGUAAGCUAGUAGAGAAUACGAAGGCGUAAAUGAGCUAACAAUCAUAAAGGAACUCGGCAAAUUGACUACCGUAACUUCGGGAUAAGGAGAGCUCAUUAUUCUUGAUUAAUAUCAGGUAAAGAGGAAGAAGCAUGAAAUAGUGUUGUACGACUGUUUAAUUAAAACACAGCACUUUGCUGAAAGAUUAAAAAUCUAAGUAUAGAGUGUGAUGUCUGCCCGGUGCCGGCUGGUUAACAGAUAUAAUUAAAUAUACUAAUAUUUGAUGUAGACGGAAACCCCGGUUAAAGGCGGCCUUAACGUGAGGGUCCUAAGGUAGCGAAAUGCCUUGGCCGUUAAAUGCGGUCUUGCAUGAAUGAUGUAACGAUACAACAGCUGUCUCUAUGAUUGACUCAGUGAAAUUGGAAUAGCUGUGCAGAUACAGUUUACCUCUAGUUAGACGAGAAGACCCUAUGCAGCUUUACUGUCACUAAUUAUAGAGUAUGAUAAACAAUUUUCAGUUUAUAAGGUAAUUGACGGCCGGCUUGCUUAGCAAGCUGGCUCUAUGACAAUGAGAAUCCUUUAUUUUUUUUUCAUAUGAAUGAAUUGGUUUAGGACGAGCUUAAGCUCGUAGUAAAUCAACCUAAUUCAGCUUAUUUUCCUUUCUGCUGUAAGCGCAUAAUGAUAGAUUAUACUUAAAUUUGGAUUUAUGCCUGCAGAAAUAGAUAAGUACCCUUGGUUAAGGAACUAUCGCUAGGGGACAGUUUAUGUGGGGCACAGACCCUGUAAAGAGUAAACAGGAGUGUCUAAUAAUUUAUAAUUAUUUUGUUUGCGAUUUAAGGUAGUAGAACUAUUUUUAAUCAUAUAAAAUUAUUUAUAUGUACAUUCGUUGUAUAUAUAUUUAAAAAAAGGUAGGAUUUUCACUAUAUAGAAAUUAGAGAUAAUAAAAAUAUUAAGUAGUAGCUGCUGAGUCCUAAUCCCGCCGAAGGGGGGAUAUGGACUACUAUGUAUUUCAUAGCAAGCUCGCACUAAUAUUUUUUAACUAUUAAGACUGGCUAUCUAGCUAUGCUCUAAUAGUUAUGUUUUAAUUAUCUAAAAAGCUCAACGGCUAAAUCUUGCCUUACUGUUUGAUUAUCAACAAAUCUUACAGUUGCGUAAGCAGGGCAUAGGAUCACAAGAUGCAACAAGGAAAGAUCUUGGAUUAUUGGAAAAGCUACGCUAGGGAUAACAGGCUAAUUUGCGCAAGAGUGUACAAAAUGAGUGCGCGGUUUGGCACCUCGAUGUCGGCUUAACUUAUCCUCAUGGAUGCAGGAACUAUGUAGGGUGCGACUGUUCGUCGAUUAAAAAGUUACAUGAGCUGGGUUAAAUACGUCGUGAGACAGUAUGGUUUCUAUCUUCUAGGGGGAAUUAGAAUAUAAUAAGAACUAACUUUUGUACGAAAGGAACAAGAAGAAUUUAAUUUGUAAAAGGGUUAAAUAAUAGUUACUAACCUAUGGUUUACCUGUUGUCUAUGUGCCCAAAUAUUAAAAUAUAGGAUAAAAAUUCUAUAUAUCUGUAUAGCUUUAGCUAUACAUAGGGAUGUUUCUUUCACUAAGAUAAAUAUAUAGCAUAGGCACGGCAGGAAAGCUAAGUUGGUUAAGGAUAAGUGCUGAAAGCAUAUAGGCACGAAGCUUAUCUUAAGAUAUUUCUUAAAUAUACGUAAAAUAUUAUUACGAAGGAUUAAUAUAGGCUUUAUCCGUACGAAUCUGGAGAUUUUUAAGAAUAAAGUACUAAUUUUAUAAAUAACUAUUUAU